rnacentral:rRNA from 1 species
CUACGGGUGGCUCCAGUGAGGAAUAUUGGUCAAUGGGCGCGAGCCUGAACCAGCCAUCCCGCGUGCAGGAUGACGGCCCUAUGGGUUGUAAACUGCUUUUCUAUGCCAAGAAACCUGAUUACGUGUAAUCAGUUGCCGGUAGCAUAGGAAUAAGCAUCGGCUAACUCCGUGCCAGCAGCCGCGGUAAUACGGAGGAUGCAAGCGUUAUCCGGAUUCAUUGGGUUUAAAGGGUGCGCAGGUGGGCUUGUAAGUCAGUGGUGAAAUGCUGCCGCUUAACGGUAGAACUGCCAUUGAUACUGCGAGUCUUGAGUAUGGUUGAGGUAGGCGGAAUGUGUUGUGUAGCGGUGAGAUGCAUAGAUAUGACACAGAACGCCAAUUGCGAAGGCAGCUUACUAAGCCAUUACUGACGCUGAGGCACGAAAGCGUGGGGAGCGAACAGGAUUAGAUACCCUAGUAGUC